CAUUAUUCAGUGAAAGUCAUUUUUAAGCCAUUAAUUAAUCAAUAAUCUCAUAAAGUAAGUCUAAAUGAACAGUGACGAAUAAAAACACAAGCCCAACAUCGGGGUGUCACAAGUUAAGAGCAUCUGCUAAGGCUUGAAUACAACGAAGAGUCUGAAAAUAUACUAAAAACAGUCUAAGGAAGACAAGAGGGAGAAGAGCAGGGCUGUGAACAUCGGACAUCUACCUUGCUAACUCCAAUGACUCUGCCACUGAGCAAUCAACAUCGCUAUCGGGUUCAGAAAUACUUGAAUCUGCACACAGGGUGUACGGAGUAAUGUGAAUACGCCAACUUAAUAAGUAAUAAAAGUAAAUGAAAGCUGAGCAGUAAGAAAACACGUAUGCCACGACAUAACGCUACAACAAAUGCAGUACAUUUCCAAAAUAGUACAAAAAUCAUUUACUUAAUAAAUCAAGCUUAGUUUUCGUAAAACCAUUUAAAACAACUUUCAACAGUUUCAAACGAGUGAUAAAAUAGUGAGUAAAAUUGAUAAAAACGUGAACAGUCCCUCGGGCAAAAUAUGUAUCAUAAACCACCCCUCGGGCAUAAUAUCAAAAGAACCAGCCCCUCAGGCUACCUCACAAUCACUCAUAAUCAGUACUUAGGGCAUAACAUGAAUCAAAAACCGCUCCUCGGGCCAAACAUGGAUCAAGAACAGCCCCUCGGGCAACAAUAUGAAACAACAAUAGCCCCUCGGGCUACAUCAUAUCACUCACACUGAGUACCCGCGCUCAUUGGGGGUGUACAAACUCCGGGAGGUCUCUUUAUAGCCCAAGCGCAAUAACAAGCCAUCUCGUGGAAUAAUUAAAUAGGCAUUCGGCCUCAUAACAACAAGCCACCUCGUGGCAUAAAUCAAUCAGGCCCUCGGCCUCACAAUAUCAUGAAUCAAUAACAACCUGUUGUAGCGUGCAACCCGGUCCCAUAAUAUCCUCACAACACCGGCCCUCAGCCUCGCUCAAUUAGAAACAUCACAAGACACUCGGACAACAGUAAACACAUGAUGCUCAGCCCCAAAAUAUCAUUUAAAAUAUAAAAACGAGUAAAUAUGGCUGAGUUAUGAAAAUAGUACAAUAUAGCAUGACUGAGUACAAAUAUAAAGUAAAAAUAGUGAGGAAUAAUAGUAAAAAUCCCCUAAGGGUCCAAAACAGUUGGCACGAAGCCCAAAUAUGGCAUUCAGCCAAAAAUAUGGUAAUAAUUUCCAAAACACAAUGAUAUCAAAUAGGUUGCAAUCAAAUACGCGACUUAACAGUCAUACGGGACGGACUAAGUCACAAUCCCCAAUGGUGCACGACCCCACGCUCGUCAUCUAGCGUGUGCAUCACCUCAAAGUAGCACAAUGAUGUGAAAUCCGGGGUUUCAUACUCUCAAGACAACAUUUAUAAUCAUUACUUACCUCAAACUGAUCCAAACUCUAGCCCGCGAUACCUUUGCCUCUUGAAUCGGGUUCCAAAUGCUCCAUAUCUAACUAAAAUGAAUAUAUUAUCAUCAACAUACACUAUAGGAACAAAGCCCAAGCAAAAAUUAUCAAAUUAUAUAAAAUAUUCUGAAAUUAGCCAAACCUGAUCCCCGGGCCCACGUCUCGGAAUCCGAUAAAAAAUAAAAAAUCCGACAACCCAUUCAACCACGAGUCCAACCAUAACAAAAAUACUAAAUUCUGAUAACAAUUCGGCCUCCAAAUCUUCAAAUCUUAUUUUCAAAUCUCUAGGUCCAAAUCCCAAUUUAAACCUCAAAAACAUGUAAUCUAGUCGGAUUAUUCGAUGAUAAUUCAAUAUUAUAGAGUAGAAAUGAUCACAAGUGACUUACCUCAAGAUUUCCCAUGAUUUCUCGCUCAAAAAUCGCCCCAAGCUGCGUUUUUUUCGUCCAAAAAUGUGGGAAUGAGCUAAAAAAACAAGACAUCUCAAUAAAACACGAUUCUAGUUGCUAAAAACCCCAUUCCAUCACUAAAAAGUGCCAAAUCUGGUCGCUAAAGUUGCACACCAGAUCCUGCUGCACCAGCAAUAUUUAUUUUCACUAAAAAGGCUCUAACUACACCAUACGAACUCGAAAUUCGAUGAUUCUUGUUACUAUGAUUUACAAAUAAUAGUACAAACAUAGCCCUUCAAUCGAAACUCAAUUCAGAGCUCAUUUGCACAGUGCGAUACCCAUUUUGCUCGAUAAACAAUUAACUUAUGUUUCGCAUCAAAAACCCAAUCGUGACUUGAUGAAAUUAGACCAAACUUUCCAAAUCACUCCGAUAAUUCAUUAUCAAAAUUUCGGAAGUCCCGAAAUCAAACUUCGAUCUCUAGAACUAAAAACAGACCUUUGGAUCAUUACAUGAUUAUGCCCAAAACGACAAAAAUCUUCCAAAAACUCUUCCAAAACUUAUCUGAGCCUCAUGGGACCCGACCAAAUAUGCCAACACACCCCAUAACAUCAUUCAAACUUGUUUCAACCUUCAUAACACUCAAAACAAUAUCAAAAUAUCGAAUCACUCUCGGAUUCAAGCCAAGAAUUCCAAAACAUCUGAAUUCCGAAUUAGAUCAAAAGGUCUAUCAAACCUCGUCCGAAUGACCUGAAAAUAUGCAUACACGUCACAAAUGGCACAAUGGACCUACUUCAAUUUCUGGAAUUCCAUUCCGACCCUGAUAUCAAAAUUUCCACUACUGACCGGAAAACGGCAAAUUUCCAAUUUCGUCAAUUCGAACCUAAAUCUAUCACAGACCUCCAAAAUACAUUCCGGACGCCCUCCCAAGUCCAAAAUCACCUAACGGAGCUAACCAAAUCAUAGAAAUCCAAAUCUGAGAUCGAAUACUAAAAAUUCAAAACUUGGUCAAACCUUUCAAAUUUAAAGCUUCAAGCUGAGAAUGGUUCUUCCAAAUCUAUUUUGAUUGUCCUGAAAACCAAAACCGACGAUUUACAUAGAUCAUAAUACAUCAUACGUGGCUAGUCAUGCCCGAGAACUGGCAAGUGAAGUGCAAAUGCUCAAAAUGACUAGUCGAAUCGUUACAUAAAGGAAUCUAUAAUUUUCCACCUACGCAAGAACAAAGCUAGUAAAUUAAAUCCUAUUCUCGCCAGCUUGUAUUGAAAAGCUAAUUACAAGAAAAAGGACAACCUAAUUUGGCUAAGUUAUGCUAAAAUAGUCAACAAUUCAUUAUGGUCUAAAUUCAAACUCAAGAUAACAAUGGUAGCAAUUUUAUCUAUAACAGAGUUUUCUAUCAAACACAACAACCAAACCAUCAUUUAGCAUGCUCUAAACAGUUUUCUAUCAAGAAAUAGAAAAGGUUUUGCUGCUAACCUUGUAAGAAACAUACUGGCAGCAAAUUAUAAUCUUAAAAUAAAUAAACCAACGAAUACAAAGGACCUUUGAUGGAACGUAUUGUCCAUAUAUGAUUUAUCAGUUCAUUUAUUACGAUCUACCAAAUAAUAGAUGUAAAAAUCAUUUUAGAGCAGCAUUAGCCAGUUAAUUAGCUUUUUCUUCAAGUUUUAUACACUUUGUAUGCAUAUGCAUCAUACAUACACAUCACACAAUAGAGAACACAUCAGUACAUAGCACCAAUAUUUAACCUUAAUAUAGAAAUAGAUGAAAAUUGACCUCAAAUAUUUCCUCUACGAGUCCAUAAGACAAAUAUGGCAACGGUUUGAGCUUUAAGGGAUUAAUGGAGGAUUUUGGAGUGUUCCUCGGCAAAAAUGGCAACGGUUUGAGCUGCGGUUUUCACGUUGUUUAGAGAUGGUUUUACAGCUUUCUCGAGGCUGUGUUGUUGCAUUUUUUAGCUAGAAAUUCUAGCUAGUUUUUGGUGAUAUUUGGGCGAUUUGAAGGAAGGUUUAGAGGUGGUUCCGGAAAUAGCUGAUCGUGGUUGUUUGGGCUGCUUCUCAGUUGGGAUUUUUUGUGCUUUUUUUGGGGUAGUUAGGAUGGCAGCUCAUAGAAGAUGAUGGGCGUGGCUGAAGUUUUUAGAAUGGAGUCCGUGAGAGCUGCUGGUUCUCUUUUUAGUUGAAGAAAGGUAGAAACAGCUGUACAUGGGGGGGUUCU
rnacentral:lncRNA from 1 species